rnacentral:tRNA from 1 species
AAGAAGCUAGUUAAAUAAUAAUACAGGUUUGUCAAAUCUGAGUUACUGUUGUUAGCAGUGUUUCUUA